GGCACGGGUACCGGCCGACUUUUCAUUCGGCCGGCCAUGUUGAAUUUUUUUGCCAGCGGUAUGUUUGACACGUUUGGUCUUCGAAUUUGGGAGAAGAUUUUUACGCCGUAAAUGACUUUUAUGAGUCUUGAAAUAACAAUAAUUUGAUGAAUAAAUGGUCCGCCAACAAGGUUGGGUGUCUGAGUGCAGCUGUCUGUCCGCACAUUCAUCCCUGGGUUCAGAUCAUCCCGGGCCCAGCCGGGAGGUGCCGAUGUCUGCUCUUCAUCUGCCCAAGGAGUCCUGGAAACAGUUGGCGGAUCUUGUGCAUUUCAACCACAAAACAGUAUGUACUUUUUCUCACUGAAAUCUUUUGGAAAGAUUCCCAUAACUGACCAUCACUAAUUUCAAUGACCUAUCAGCCAUCAGAAAGUGAUAUGUCCUAAAAAGUCUUUACUGAGAAAACACUUGGAAGUUUUCAGACCAGUCUCAUAGAUGGCCAGAUAUGGCAAUCUUUCCUCUUUCUUUUCAGGAGUUCCAAAUGUUGGACUGAAUGAUAUUGGGUUUGGCUGGGUUUGGCUGCGUUGCGUUGCCAUGAAUGAAAUGUGGAACAAAGUUGAUGUCAAAAGACCAUUUGGUUGCAAUAUUCCUGAGCUGUUACUAGUGUUAGGAGUUCAACUUGUGUGAAUUUACCAUGUGAAUACUUACUGUGAAUACUUGAAAGUUUAAGACUUAGUGUGCACUCAAAAUCAACAAUAACUGGACUGAAAAAUAGUUCGAAUUGUGCAGUCAAGCUAUAAUUCAGGUAAAUUCAGUAGAUUAAUUUGGGAAAAUGUACUAUCAUUUAUUUGGGCAAUUGCUUUGCUCCUGUUAUUGGAAAUGCACAGUUUUGAAUGCGUGGCUUUUUUUCUCAAUUCUUCUGUACGGUGAUGACAACAUUUGUUUGUCUUGUUUGUUUUACCAGUCAUGAUUAAACACUAUAGGCGUAAUUGAUGACAAAAAUAGAAGUAUAUACGAGAACUGUAUACCUGUAGGCGUAUCUCAAUUUGCUACACCUCUAUUUGACAACUGAAAGUCACUUAGAAUUUCAAUGACGUGAAAUUUACCAAUUCAAAUUCUUUAUUCCUUCCUUUAAAUCCUCCAAACGUUUUCUUCAAUCCAUCCUCAAGUGUCCCAUUUUUGUGCUGGAUUUGAUUUACAAAAAAUAGACAGUCAAACUUUGGCAUCUACUGUAAUUGAUGCAAAGUGGAUUACAAGGACAAAAGUGCUUGUUAUCCAAACUAAAUUUUUUAUAAACCAUUGUACCAUUUUUUAACUGAAAAAACUGCACUUACUCUUACAUCAAAUUGAAAUGCGAUUUGAAAUACAUGCUUUUUUAUUUACUGCUUACUACUAAGGCCAAAAUCAGAAACAAAUAUUUAGUAACAAAAAAAUGAUUUAAUUUCCCCACCCUCUAAUUAUGACUAGUGUCCCGCCCCUAAAAGAGGGAGUUUGCCCAAAUGCUGUGGUUUUCAUGUAAUUUGAACUCUUUUUUUUUUAGCUUACCCCAAGAAGUCUUGAUAAACUUACUUUUGUGUUUAUUUUGCCAUUUCCAGUAGAAAACCCCACCCACAAAAAGGUAGGGGAAAAUGGCUAUUCAACUGUGUACUCUUGAUUUAUACCACAAGCCAACUGACUAUCUGAUAAGCUUACAGUGACUUUUAGGUAGUACCCAAUUGCUUGAGUAUAUGGACCUGCAGUUUGCUGAAUUGCCUCUCACCUGUGAAACGCUGGAGCUAGUCAUUGCACUGCAGCCACAGUUGAGACAAGACUUUCCCUUACUCCCCUUGGUGAUUCGUGACUGGCUCAUCACCGUACAUUCCCUCCCCAUACCUCCACCCUCCAUCCCCUCUUCCCCACCCUCCAUACCCUCUUCCCCACCUUCCAUACCCUCUUCCCCAUCCUCCAUCCCCUCUUCCCCAUCCUCCAUCCCUUGUCUAACAUCAUUUGCACGCACUAGUUCAUUUCUAUCCUUCCUCCAUCCUCUCACCUACUCUUUUCUUCUGUCACUCGCACGCACCGUUUCAUUUCUAUCUACCUUUCCUCUUCCCCGUUUCUCCUUCCUCUCUUUUCCUCCCUCUCCAUCUCUCGCACGCACCGUCUAAUUUCUGCUCUUCCUCUCUCACUAACAUGGGAUCAUGACAGCUACCUUCCCGGUGGUGAUCCUGUUAAGGGAAGCUUUCCUGUUAAAGGGAAAUUUCCUGAACUAAAGCUGUCAAAUAGGGGACACUAGUACACUGGAUCAUUCAUUAAUCUUCAUUACGUUUUAUAAUUGAGAUCAUGAUGAUAAUGUCAUGUUGCGUUAUGCAAUUUCCUAGUCAAAAGAAACUUUCUUUCUGACUCGCCCUGUAUGAAUCACACAAUAGUGAACAAAUACCCCCUUACACGCGCUGAUCCAGUACGGUACACGUGCCACGUGAGUGUUAUUGAGUUUUCCACCAGCCUGGCGAGUGGCAUUGUGUUGCACUGCAAAAAGCUGCAAAACAAUCAUCUUUCCUAAGGAUUUUGACUCCAAGAACAGAGGCCUCAUCACGAACAAUGACUCAUCAAGGAUUCAUUGCGGACCAGGACCAGCGUAGUGCUUGAAGUUGAUGAUCGAACCUGGUGAGAAUGAGACGGCUCUUUUAAAAAUCAUCCGCCAUGACCGCACCUGUCUGUGAGGGAUGAGGCACCAUCCUGAGGUCAUCAUCACAUCUUUUCUGGCUUCUCUCAGGAUGAUCGAGUGCUCCAAAUUGAAGAGACUGAUCUUUGCAAACCAUGCUGAGGCUGGAUUGGACCAGACCAGUGCCUAGACUAGGCAGGACAGGCUGGAUGACCAUCACCAUGGCGACUGGGAUGAUCUUAAGGGUGAGUCAAACCAAGAAUACAACCUGCUCCAUCAAAACUCAUCACAAUGUGCACCAAACAACCUCCUUUGUAAAUGACCAUAAUUCUCUCACUUGAUUCUUGUGAAUUGGAGUUUUGUCCUCAACGUUGUGAUUGAAAGAAAUUUGAUAUUUUUACCUGACAGCAUCACGGACAAUACAUUGUAAUUUGAAGAAAAAAGAGAAAUGAGAAUAAUUUCUAAGCAAUGGUCAUGACAGUCAUUUCUGAAAGACAGGAAUUGAAAGUUUCUCUUCUUGAAAGAUUGCUGUGUGAUUUGAUAUACAUCAAAUCAAGAAAUUUCAUUUGUGUGAACUGUCAAAGAGAAACCUAAUUAUUUGCAGUACAUGUAAGUGUCCAGUGACUUUCAUAGUGGUUUGCAAGCAGAUGGAAUUGUCGCAAAGCUCUUGCAGUCCGGUGCACAUGUUCUUAAUAUGAUGGAGCAGGUUUUCAUAGGAGAGAUUGAAGUGAAACAUACAGUUAUGAAUUGAAACUUUUUUUAUUUAAAGACAUACAGGAUCAUUUUGCAUUUGACCCUCAAUCAACCUAACACAUUAUGUUUAAAUUGCUUACUUGGAUUAAGGAUAGUACUGGUACUACAUGUAAACGACCCGUAAAUUCUAUCUGGCAUGCUGUCAUUUCAAAUGAAAUCCAGAAAUGAAGGUGCUUUCCAACAAUCAGCCAUUUGACUGUUUUUUGGGGAAUAAAGAUUGCUAUUGACAAAAUAGUGUGUAGUGAUCAAAAGGUCCUGCUUCACUGUUUUCUUGAAAUGUGAAAUAAUCACAGAGCUGAAAGUUCAACUGAUUAGGUUUUUGAACACUCUUCUUUUGAUUGUGUUGAUGUUAUUGUUGGAAACAAAGAAAAUGCAUGAAUAGCAAAUGAUCCUUUAUGCCUUUUUUAACUGUUGCUUUAAUAGUUUUAAAAUUUUCCAUAGCAAAUUGUACACACAUACUCUAUAUCUUUGGUUGCUAGAAAAGAUUAAUUUUCAUUUGUUUCAUUUUCAUAUUGAUUUUAUUUUGUCUUAAAAAAAUUAUGACUUUAUGAACCUGAUAAAAUCUGGUUCUGAGAACUGAAAUAUGUGAAUAGAUUUUUUUUCUGAGCAUGCAAAAAUGUAGUUUCUGUUGCUGCAUAAUGCCGUUUUAUCCCAACGGUUCGGCCUUUGAUGUUGAGAACAACAUUUCAACAUUCAGGAGGAAUGUAGUUAGCCAGACCAAGUAUUUCCUAACAAAAUUGGAAAUGUUUCGCAGUCCCAGAUUCAUGUCUUUUCAACAUGUUUGCAAUGAAUGACCAUUAGUGAUAUGAGGAAAAAGUGGCAUCACGUUGCAACAUUCUGUCUAAACAUUCUAAAUCAUUGAUGGAAAAGUUAAGACACUUUAAAUCUCUGAGCUACCUGAAGGUUGAAGAUUUUAGUCAAGGAAACAAAACUGUCUUAACUAUUAACUUUAAUAUUGAUAAUAAUUUGCUGACAGAUAAUGAAGUGAAAAUGUUUCUUGUUUCUGCAAAUGAUUGAGAUUGAUGAUAAAUUUGAGAAAGCCAUGCUGUUAUGUUAGUGAAUUGUAGGUGCCAGUCUGGAUCAGGAUAACAUGUAGCUGACAAUAAGUUCAAUAUGUGUUCAGUUGCUUUUCCUUUCAAUCUAUGGCUAAAUUUUGGCUUCCUUUCUAAAUACCCCCAAAUUUCCUAAAUUCCUCAUUCUCUAUGUUUACACCUGUUUUUCUUGCCAACUUAACCAUCAGUUUGCUAUUGCAAUGCAACAACCACAGCUCUGCAUUUAAGCCAAAAGAAACAUCAAAACUGAAACCAAAAUCAAGCUAUGUGAAGCUGAAUCUUAGUGUCUUACAGUGCAAUUCCUCUGCCUGUAUCUCCUCUGCCAACAUGUAGUUCUUUUUCAUCUUACAUCUAAUUGCAACACAACCAAAAGCUCAACUUUUAUCACACAACUACAAACACCUGUGUUCUGUGCAAAACUUUGCACUUAUUUAUUUUUCAAACCAAAGGAUGUCUUUGGGGUGCUCUCAGAAGGUAUUGGAAGCCAUUUAAAUGCAAUCAUUAAUAGGUCAUAAUUUUUUGAAGACUACUUAAAUUUUAAAGAUGCUAGGGGCGUUCGCGUAGUUUGUCGGUCUUGUGCACACAAUUUUUAUUACUGAAUGUCAGUGGUCGUUCAUAUUGUGGCAGACCUGGUCAUGUAAGCUGCUUGCUAGCCAUCUCUGAGAGUCAACCCCUCCCUUCCUUUUGGGCAACCAUUUCUUUGGUACUCUGCCCUCAGUAUCUAUUCUUUAUUCAUCUCUUUUUGCCUCCAUUCUUGUCUGAUCUUGUUUCAAUUCAUUUCAGUAACUUGUAUGUCCAUCUAAAGCAGAGUAAAAGAACCAUAAGUUUCUAUAUAAAGAUGGAGGCAUUGUUUUAAAAUCUAAAGUUAAUAGGGGCACACCUUAUAUUCCUAGACUUUGCCCCCCCCCCCCCCCCCCCCCCCGGAAAAUAAUAUUUCAAUUCAACAUGCCAUUUUCAACAAAAGUCUUCUUUUGCGAUCCUAACUCUUUAUAUGAUAAAGAAAAAUUGUUUUUGAAAAUUGACAGGCAAUUAACCUAUUGUGGUAGAAUCGUGUCGGCAACGCAGCUUGUGAAAUAUUUUCAAACAAAUGGAUGCGGAACGAGCAAAAUCUGAGACAAACGAAACUUAACGCACACUAUUCAAUAGGGUUGUCUAAUUAUACAUGUAGGUCAAUUUAGGGAGAUACAGAUUGAUCAACCAUGUCAGAAGUUCUCAUUUAAAAGUUGUGUCCUGCAACGUUUGUGAAAUUUGAGGCAAAAGUAAAUGAAUCUACAUGUACAUGUUGUCGUACUGAUUAAAUUAAGCAAGCUUUAUUGACAUACGCAUAAAUCACACAAACAUGUGGAUUAAUCAAAGCUUUGAAGACUGCUGCUGUCGUGACUUGUAGUUAGUUACUGAUUGGACUUGCAUCAAUAUUUAGUUUAGUUUGGUGAUACUUUGUGAUAACUCAGCUUGAAGAAGUGUUUCCUUGUCAGUUGGCACAGCUUCAUACACAUACUAGCCCCUAUUGGUUCCAUCAAUUGUUAUCAUUCAUGGAAUUAAGUGGAACUUCUAUUUUUUUUUCUUUGCUGUGUUAAAUUGAGAGAAUGCUUUCUAUUUUUCUCAUUUUAAAUUUUGAUCCAACAUUGCAGUUGCAUCCCCCUUGCUAUUUUGAAUUUUAUCUUCCAAAUACCGGUAGAUUCCUUUUUGUAGAUUUGUUUAACAAGUACAAAUUUUGAAUUACCUUGUGGCCGGUCAAUACAUGUAAUUCUGUUCUCGUUGGAAUAAAGUUUAAAAAUUAAAAAAAAAUAGGAAAAUAAAUAAAAUUUAUUGAAGAGCAUGGGGAAUGCAACUUAAUUUUUUUUUGUGCAAAAAAGUUCUCAAUCUCCAGACAUCAAUCAUCAUGAAGCGUAAUUAGACAAUUAGUUCAAAUAAGCUCUCUAUUGUCUCUAAACCUAACAAUGCCAGGAGUAUUACAAAUAGCAAUGGCCAAAAAUCAUUCCUAAAUAUGGUGGCAUUGCCACAAACAAUAAUCCAAUUCGAUAUUUCGCUGGGGCAUGUACAAACUCUUAUGAACAAUACAAUUUUUGGAUGAACAAACACAUCAUGGGGUCCUUGACCAAUAGAUAGCAAGCUUACAGCAUCACAUGGAUUUGUUUAUCCAAACAUUGCAGUGUUCAUUCAUUGCUCAUACGAGAUGUCGAAUUGGCUUAUUCCAGCAAGAGUGAAAACAAUUGCAUUCAAGUGUUUGUUAACAUGCACUCUGAAGAAUAUCUGUGCAGGAUGUGUAUUUUCCAUUUUGGAAAGAACUUGAUUUUGUUUUUUUCAAUUCAAAGGUUUGUUUCAAACCUUCAGAUUGUUUGAACUUAUUGUCAUUCCCCUCAAUAUGUCUCUGAAGGUUUCAUUUUGGGAUUUUGUUUUUCAGUUGGUUUUGCAGAAGACUUUAUUCACUCAAUUUGGUCCAUCAUCAAAUACUGUUUUAAUCUAGAGUGUUCUUAUGUUGGAAUUUUUUUAAUUGAAGAUGAACUGUCUGUGCUAAGCGUGGUUCAUACUUCUCGCGAAAGCAAAAGCAAAAGCGAAGCGAAAUUCGUGUCGUCAACAAUACAUUCAAAGCGCGUUCACCAUUGUUGACGACAUGAAUUUCGCGUCGCAGUAUGCUUUUGCGUGAAGUAUGAACCGGGCUCUACACAGUCAGCCCAAAAUAGAUUUUAUUGGAAAUUGCUACUGUUUUCUAGCAAUAUUAAGGUUAUUUAGUUCUGGAUGAGAUAUUGAUCAAAAUAUAGGCACGUGUUUAGGUAUGGAAUAAUUAAUUCACAAUUUGUUUACUCAUUUGCAUUCCAAAAUAAUUUAGUGCUCACAUUACACACACAAACUGGAUCUUGCCCCACCUCCUCCUUACUAUCAUUGAUGAUGUACAUAAUGUAAUUGCAGGGCAAUUACAUACAUGUCUUAAUUUGUGUGCGAAAGCAACCUGAAAUCCUAUAUAACAAUUUUCUUUUCAUUGGGUUGCAGAGACCAAAGUGAGGGAAACUGUUUUCCAUUUAAAACCCUAAAAGAUCACAAUUUGUCAGGAAAAAAGAAGAAUUUUAUUGAGAGCACAGACAGUUCAUUUUAACUCAACAUUUGCCAUUUUAAUUAAAGAAGAGAGUAAAGAGUUGUCACUGAGAAUGUUUCACUGACAACAUUUUUGCCCUAAUUUAAUAUGUGAUUGGUGAGUUAACCUUAACAAGACUCAACCCAUUAAACCCCAACAACAUGUUUAGUUGGAAUCUGUCAGGAUGGGUACAGUACCCCUAAACUGACAGUCUUUUACAUUGGUCGGCACACCUCUAAAAUCAAAGUCAGAAAUAUGUGUAUGCAGUUUCCAACAUGGAUUUGGAAUUUUCCAGGAUGUGUAUAUUUCCUAGUAAAUUAUGCUAGGGAGUCAUGGCUUUUAGUGAGCAGUCACCGUUGCAAAAAAAUUAAUUAUUGAAUAAUUACAGAUUAAGAUCAUUGUUGAGCAAUGAUUAGAAAAUUGAUCAGUUGUAGAAAAGCAGUGCUCCAUGGUAACUGAUAAAGAGGAUGAUAAUUGAAUUUGAAAUGAACUGAUCAUAAAUUGACCAGUGACGAGGGUGAUGGUUUGUGGAGAGCAUUGCUUUGGAAUCACACUUUUGAAUAUUCACUGAUCAUGGAAACCAGUGCCAUAAGAAAGAAGCUAAUAUAGUUCAUGGCAGUGGAACACUGUUUGCUACAUCAGCAUUGAUGAGACGUUGAUGGUUGAUGUUUGUAGCGGCAGAUGUGUAAUUGCUGGAGGAAUCUGAUGAGUUGUUGACCUUCCCUCUGUGGCUGGCAAUCUCAACAAAGCCAGUCCAGCAGUCAAAAUAAAUCAAGUGACUGGUUUUAGCAGUUGAGUGCUCCCUGCUACAAAGCAGGAUUGACAGGUUGUGAUUGUUAUGAAACCUGAUACAGCUAUGCUUUGACUGCAGGAGAUUGAUCAGCCAGCUGUGCCUAUUCAUUUACCUGAUUUUGUCUGUUGAUGGAAUAUGACUGUCACAGUGCCUGUACUGAGAUAGUGAACUGAUUGUUUGUGACUAGCCUGUAUAAAUGCCAUGCAGAGGAACAGGAUUGAAAUGUGAUUGUGACUGAUCAACAAAACGAGGGUUUAGUUCCUCGAGUUAAUUAAUGGACAAAUUACGUCAUCAUUUUGAAA